UACAGAGGGGGCAAGCGUUGUUCGGAAUUACUGGGCGUAAAGGGCGCGUAGGCGGCCUGCUAAGUCGAACGGGAAAUCCCUGGGCUCAACCCAGGAACUGCGUCCGAUACUGGUUGGCUUGAAUCCGGGAGAGGGAUGUGGAAUUCCAGGUGUAGCGGUGAAAUGCGUAGAUAUCUGGAGGAACACCGGUGGCGAAGGCGGCAUCCUGGACCAACACUGACGCUGAGGAGCGAAAGCCAGGGGAGCAAACGGG
rnacentral:rRNA from 1 species